rnacentral:rRNA from 1 species
AUUGAACGCUGGCGGCAGGCUUAACACAUGCAAGUCGAGCGAGUGGCGGACGGGUGAGUAAUGUAUGGGGAACUGCCUGAUGGCGGGGGAUAACUACUGGAAACGGUAGCUAAUACCGCAUACCAUCAGAUGAACCCAUCUGGGCUUAGCUAGUAGGUAGGGUAACGGCUUACCUAGGCGACGAUCCCUAGCUGGUCUGAGAGGAUGAUCAGCCACACUGGGACUGAGACACGGCCCAGACUCCUACGGGAGGCAGCAGUGGGGAAUAUUGCACAAUGGGCGCAAGCCUGAUGCAGCCAUGCCGCGUGUAUGAAGAAGGCCUUCGGGUUGUAAAGUACUUUCAGUCGGGAGGCGUUACCGGCAGAAGAAGCACCGGCUAACUCCGUGCCAGCAGCCGCGGUAAUUC